rnacentral:rRNA from 1 species
GACAGAGGGUGCAAACGUUGUUCGGAAUUACUGGGCGUAAAGCGUGUGUAGGCUGCUCCGAUAGUCGGAUGUGAAAGCCCUGGGCUCAACCUAGGAAGUGCAUUCGAUACUCCGGAGCUUGAGUCCUGGAGAGGAAGGCGGAAUUCUCGGUGUAGAGGUGAAAUUCGUAGAUAUCGAGAGGAACACCGGUGGCGAAGGCGGCGCUCUGGACCGAGACUGACGCUGAGGCGCGAAAGCGUGGGGAGCAAACAGG